GGACUACUCGGGUAUCUAAUCCUGUUUGAUCCCCUUGCUUUCGCGCCUUAGCGUCAGGUAUAAGCUAGAAAACCGCCUUCGCCACCGGUGUUCUUCCACAUAUCUACGCAUUUCACCGCUACUUGUGGAAUUCCGUUUCCUCCGCCUACCCUCUAGAAUGAUAGUUUCAAAUGCUGUUCCGGGGUUGAGCCCCGGGAUUUCACAUCUGACUGUUCAUACCGCCUACGCGCCCUUUACGCCCAAUAAAUCCGAUUAAUGCUUGCACCCUCCGUAUUACCGCGGCUGCUGGCAC
rnacentral:rRNA from 1 species